GACGAACGCUGGCGGCGUGCUUAACACAUGCAAGUCGAACGCAGUGGCGAACGGGUGAGUAACGCGUAAUCAACCUGCUCUUCAGAGGGGGACAACAGUUGGAAACGACUGCUCAUACCGCAUACUGAAGGAGGUGAUUGCGUCUGAUUAGCUAGUGGGAGGGGUAACGGCCCACCAAGGCGAUGAUCAGUAGCCGGUCUGAGAAGAUGAACGGCCACAUUGGGACUGGGACACGGCCCAGACUCCUACGGGAGGCAGCAGUGGGGAAUCUUCCGCAAUGGACGAAAGUCUGACGGAGCAACGCCGCGUGAGUGAUGACGGCCUUCGGGUUGUAAAGCUCUGUUAAUCGGGACGCGGUACCGGAAUAGAAAGCCACGGCUAACUACGUGCCAGCAGCCGCGGUAAUUC
rnacentral:rRNA from 1 species